CUACGGGAGGCUGCAGUCGAGAAUCUUCCGCAAUGGACGAAAGUCUGACGGAGCGACGCCGCGUGCGGGAUGAAGGCCUUCGGGUUGUAAACCGCUGUCAGUGGGGAGGAAAUGCAUCAGGGUUCUCCCUGGUGUUUGACCGAUCCGCAGAGGAAGCGCAGGCUAAGUUCGUGCCAGCAGCCGCGGUAACACGAACUGCGCGAACGUUAUUCGGAAUCACUGGGCUUAAAGAGUUCGUAGGCGGCCUUUCAAGUCGGGUGUGAAAUCCCUCGGCUCAACCGAGGAAUUGCGCCUGAUACUGUUGGGCUUGAGGGGGAUAGGGGUGAGCGGAACUGAUGGUGGAGCGGUGAAAUGCGUUGAUAUCAUCAGGAACACCGGUGGCGAAGGCGGCUCACUGGAUCUCUUCUGACGCUGAGGAACGAAAGCUAGGGGAGCGAACGGGAUUAGAACCCCGGUAGUC
rnacentral:rRNA from 1 species